rnacentral:lncRNA from 1 species
AUUUGGUUGGGGCUGGCGUAGUCGCGUCUGCAGUAGGCAUCCCCGCAAGAGCAUCAUCACCUUUCUCCGGGUCCUCUGACGACGAAGCAGAUGAGCUGGCAUUCUUCGAUGCCUUAGCAGGGGAAUCCGUUAGCACGAUAGUCGGCACGGCUCCGUCCUUCAGAACAACCGCUCCUGCUGAUGCCUGCUUCGCAGGGUCAAUGUCUUGGUCGGUGGGCUGGUUGGAGGAUACAGCAGUUUGAGC